rnacentral:lncRNA from 1 species
UUGGUUGUGGCUAUUGUGGGAAUCCCCCUAAGACACAUAAGCCAAGCAAGAAACCCAAGUCACCAGUUACACCCAUUGUGAAACCACCACACAUAGUUCCUCCAAUUACUGUCCCUCCCAUUGUGAAACCUCCAAAAGUUCUUCCCCCUAUCAUUGUGAAACCUCCAAAAGUUCUUCCUCCUAUCAUUGGUAAACCACCAGUUACAGUUCCACCAGUUACAGUCCCUCCUAUUUUGAAGCCACCAGUUACUUUACCCGUUCCAAUUCCUCCAGUUACAGUCCCUCCCGUUGUGAAACCACCAGUAACAUUACCUGUUCCAAUUCCACCAGUUACAGUCCCUCCUGUUUUGAAGCCUCCAGUAACUUUACCUGUCCCAAUCCCACCGGUUACAGUUCCACCAGUUACAGUUCCUCCAGUUACAGUUCCUCCAGUUACAGUUCCACCAGUUACAGUUCCUCCGGUUCUUACCCCACCAACGACACCGGGGCAGGGAGGGAAUACACCAUGCCCACCACCGAAGUCUCCAGCACAGGCAACAUGCCCAAUUGACAUACUGAAACUGGGUGCAUGUGUUGAUCUGUUAGGUGGGUUGGUGAACAUUGUAGUGGGGGACCCAGCUGUGAAUGAGUGUUGCCCUGUGCUUCAAGGACUUGCUGAGGUUGAAGCUGCAGCGUGUCUUUGCACCACUAUUAAGCUCAAGCUUCUGAAUCUCAACAUUUAUGUUCCAAUUGCUCUUCAGCUUCUUGUUGCAUGUGGAAAGUCUCCUCCUCCUGGUUACACCUGCUCCAUCUAAACCACUUAAGUGCUUCUUCAACUGUGUAAGUCUCUCUAAACCCCCACAAAACCCUAAUUUAUGUUUUCUUUUACAUUGUCAAACAUCAACUCUUUCUAAAAUAGAAGGAGUAAACGGUCACUUUCCUUGUGUUUAUUGUUUUCAUUAAUAGAUAAUAAUAUGAGAUUCUUUGUUAAUCAUUUUCUAUAAUGAACAGUGAAACUUGUUAGGGUAUAUGUUUGUUAGGUAAAGUAAGCAGUAAUUAUCUAAUCCGUUGAAUAUUUAGUUAUUAAAAUAACUAAGUUAAAAAGACAACAAAAUCCUUAAUAUAAUUAGCUUUAGAUUCAAAUUGGUUGUGUCUACCUUUUCUAUUAUACUGCUCAAUCAUUAAAUUCUACUGAUCAUUAACCAAGUUUCUUUCUUUUUUGGAAGUAGCUAAUAACAUGCAUGGUUAUCCACUUUGUCUUCUAUGUUUUUUCCCUCUAUUUUAGAAAGAUAAUAGUGAUGGCAUGCAUAUUAAUUAAGCUUGUCGUUCUUUAUAAACAAAUAAAAAAUGAAGUUGGAAACUGAAUGUUUUAUUUAAAUCAUUAUCAUCAUAGGAUAUAUAGUCAUAUAAGUGCUGAGAAGAGGGAGUAAAAGGUUAGAGAUUUUCUCCAAAAACAAUACCUUUCCUAGCUAGCUAUUUAAAUAUAGAUUAUUAAAGUAAUCAACAUUCUAGUAUGAAAGUUACUGAUUCAAUUCUUUUGUCUUCCCUUUUCUUUUAACUGUUAUUAUAUAUGAUUGUGAACGUUUUGUGUUCAUACUAAGUAGAUUACAUGGAAUUAAGGAUGCAAGAUUUGAUUUGUAUUUCCAAUUAUUAAUGUUGUCCUAUUGUAUACCCGUGAACUUGAAUUCUUUGUCUUAUAUGAUGUCACUAUGUGUGAUUUGCAGGUCAAUGUAUUGAGGAAUGUAUGGCUGAAAUCGACAUCAGAGGGUGUCCACCACUCUUUCUCUCUCUUGGUUUAUGGAAUUGUUGUUGUUUGUUUAAUUUCGUUAUUAUUUGUAAAAAAGAACAUUUGUUUUUUAUUGAGAAUGUUGAAUGUAUGUCUAAUCCUAGUAGGCCAAGUAAAGUAGCAGCGAAGAUGCUUAAUUCUCUGUGAAUUUUAAUAAAAUUAUUGAUAUGAAUUUCACGUUGUGUCAGUUGUUGAUGAUCAGCUUUGUGUUCUAUUAUUGUGUACCAUAUUUGCUUCAAAUGGGGAUAAAAUAUUCUAACAUGAAGUAAAAAAUAUAUCGAGUAUAUAUCAAAAAUAUUAAAUAUAUUAUUUAUAUUACGUUUUUUAGAUAAUAAUAAUUAAAUAUAGGAGUCAUAAGUGGUCUGAUGAUGAAGAGAGUAAUCGUAAGGAAUGGAGUGCAGGAGGUUGUGGGUUCCAAUCCCACCAUCAAUAAAAAAAUGAGAGUCAUAAGGUGGUUAGAUCUUAGGAUGUAGGAGGUUGAGAAUGAAGUCUCACCCACAACAAAAAUACUAACAUACUAAUAAUUGCCGAUAAAAAAAUAAUGAUUAAAUAUGAAUAUACAAUGAUAGAAUGAGUGGUAGUGAAAGUUUGCACCUUUUAUUUAAAAAAUGUAAGUUGUAAUAUAACCACAACAACGAAAAAUACUGUAAAAAUGACAAAUAAAACCAGUAUGCUAAACCAAAAUUCACAUAAAUAGCAGUGUCCUAUAUAGGCAAAUUAAAUAGGGGGCACAGGCACAAAUAGUGGUGACUAAUGAUUUCAGAAAAUGUAGUAUCAUUCUAUUUCCACAUCUCCUUAAUGGAUAUACAUUUUUCCUAGGACGUAUAUCUUGUCCUAAAUAGUACAUAUUAUUGCAAGUCUACAUCACAAACGAAAAACGUUAUUUUACACUUUAAUAAAUACAAUAUUUGUGUGGACAUCGUACUCGAUAUUAGUAUUGUUAGAUACCAUUAUCUUAUAUACCAUAUGGAAAUUUAAAAUGUAUGUUAAAUAUGAAUGAGUCAAAAAAUCAUAUGAAUUUCUUAUUAUGAAUAUUCAAAUGACCGCAAGAAUGAAUGAAUAGAUGUAAUGAAAAACAAAAGAGAAAAGGUGGACGAGCCCAACCAAAUUGCUACAUUUAUUCGGAGAAAAAUUAAGAGUGUAAUAUUGCACUGACAGUAAAAAGAAUUUAGAGAGAUAAACGAUGAUAAAUGAUACUAUGAUAGUGUAUAAAAUUCAUACACUAUUAGUGUAUAUAUUUUUUCCUAGAAAAUUAAUUUCAUACGGCCUCAUUUUUUCCACAGAUAUUUUGAUUUCUGAACAUGUAAUUUUUCUUUACCUACCCUCACAAACAUAGAUGUAGAGCUUAUACAAGGUUCAGACUUUGAGAUCAGUUAUUACUAAAACACGGUCCGAAUAAGCCCAAAAAAGAUAGGGCUAGAGUAUUAUACGAUAAAAUUUAAUCGUCACUAAAGUGCUACGCAAUACAAAUUUAGCCCAGAUUAAAUCUGGACUUUUAUGUCUGUGUGGGGUGUACGGGCUCUACCCUUUUUUCACAAUCUCUAGUUCACUCUUCGACUCGCACAGUAACUAAAAUGUGGAUGAAAACGAUUCCCAAUGUUAGAGAUGUAAAGUGCUUCAUGAUUUAAAGCAUUCAUGACCUAUUAUAAUAAAGAUGAACAUGCAUAAUUACCCUCAAGUCAUAAUCACUGUCUCCACAAGUGUGCUUGUCUAUUGUACUACAAUGAGUGUCAUUAUAUGUGCCAUAAGAUUGUGAAUGAUUGAAAAAAUAUAUUUAAGUUAAAAUUUAAUUGUUAAGUAUUUUUCUAACCAAUUAUAGCUUAUAGCACAUGGAGUGAUACAAAUUAAUGAGACAGAAUAUGUUAUCCCUCUCCUCAAUUACUGGUUGAAACCAAAUUUUGCAAAACAUGUUCAAUAUCACACUUUGCUACCUGAUGAGCUUCUCCAUUGCAAUAAUGGAGAAACCAAAAUAAGAUUUAUUUUUCUAAAAAUAGAGAAAAGAAAAGCAGGUAACCUACCAUGAUGCUGGCAUCACCUGCCCGUACACCCCCACAGACAUAAAAGUCACUAUCAUUCUGAGAAUUAUAGAGUACAAUAAACUCUAUCAGAUUAAAAAUGGAAUUCCAAAGUAACUAUCAACUUUUCAGUUUUCCGAAUAUAUCAGCACAUGACCUCUAUUUUUGAAACAAAAACUAAAAUAGCUUCUAAAAAACACAAUCCGAAUCAGAACUACGCUACACCUCAAAUUUCAAAGGUGGGCAGCAUCAGCACUAAACAAAACACAGCCACCACCUAUAAGUGACCCUAAAUUUGAGAAUUAUAGAGAAAAUGAAUCACAAAAAUUAUUCUCUGAAUUGAACUUAUAUAUGUUACAAAUGCUAUGGAAUGAUUAAGCUACCUGCUAACUAUUACUGAGAGGUGGGCCAGGCAUGUAAAACCGCAGAAUACAACCCUCAAGAAGAUUUAUUCAAUAUUGUUCCACUGGGAAAGAGCCUAAUACGGCUAAAACGUUUUAAUUUGGAUAGAGCUUCCUGUGGCUUACCAAGCAAGAGAUCCACAUAAACUGCAGUAAGUGUGGCUUCUGGACUGUUUGGUGAUAUGGAUAAUGCCUGUGAAAUCAGUAAACUGGCUUCCUCAAGCUCACCCUGCAUCGCGGAUAUUGCAGCAAAGUUUGCAUAAAUUGUUGCCCGUGCCUCCUCUGGCUUGAGGAAAACAAUACUUUGGGUAUCCUCAAGACAAGAGUUUUUGGUUUCCAUGGACCCUCCUCCAUCCACCUCUUCAAAUUCAGAAGUCUUCUCCACUCUCCAUUUUUCACAGUCCUCUUGAUUGAAAGGCAAUAUAACAUUGUGUCCCUCAGACAAAUAAAAUGUCAAGAGCUUGGCAGCUUCUUUUGGUCUUUUCAGCAAGCAGAGAGCCUCUGCUGCAUAAACAUGGCCAAGAAAGAUGUAAAUUCUGGAACAUUCGGGAAGUUCUAAUAGAGAUUUUGCAACUGACAGUGCUUUCACAGGAUUGUCCAAUUCCAGCUCCACAUAAGCUAAAUUGGCAAGAACAGCUUGCUUGACCAAUUGGUUUUCUCUUCUACAGACAUCUUCAUAAUAGGACAGAGAGUUCAGAACAAGUUCUUGACUAGAUACGCCCUUUUGCUCUUUUGUGUCCCCAUUUGAAUCAACCUGACCUAAACCUCCUGCUACUGAAAAUGCCUUUGAAUCAAUUACAUGUAAGUUCUUAAGAUUUGAAUUCUUUGAAGAUGGCGAUUCACUUGUAUCAUUUUCCUCCACAGAAGAAUUAGUGGGCAAUCCAGAUUUCAAAUAAUCUGUACUAUAGGCUUCCAGCAAGUGCAGAGCAUUUGCGAGGCACUGCCGGGCCAUGGACAUCGAUAAGUUCAGCUGCCCAUCAUUGCUUUGACAACAAUUAUCCUUUUCAGGUGACUUCAUAUGUACAUUUCCUGGAAUCUGAUCUUCCACAACAAGUUGCCUCCAUUUUCCCGUCCCAACAACACAAACUCCAACAUCCAACUUCUUUGGAGGAACCCCAUCAGAUUUAAUUAGGCCCUUUUCUAAAGCCAUCAGACAGCAUUCUGAAAGUCGGAGCCACAAGAGAGGCUGUUUGUAAAACACCAAGCUGGCCUUCUGGAAACAGUGAGCAGCAAGUGUGGGUUUCCCAGUAGCCAAGUACUGCACACCACAAUUAUAAAUUAUAAGCAGAGAAUUGUCCUGAGAGAAAGUGGCAAGCUUCAACGGUUGGUCCUUCCGCAUGGAUGAACAAUUAGUUAAUGCCUUUGAGAAGAAUAACGAGGACGUCUGAUAUUUCCCAAGAUGAUAAUAAAUGCACCCAAGAUUGUUGUUGAAAAUGCUUGAAAAUGUUGUAUCUGUCCGAUUACUUGAUGCCAUCAAUAGCUUUAUCGCUUUCCCGUGGUUACCACGAGCAUAUUCAAGCUGAGAUUUCAAAAGAAGAGCCACGGAUGAAUCUCUUCCACGUGCAAUAUUCAUAACCAGCUUGAUUUCACGUUUCGCUAGCUUCAAGUUCCUCGUAAUAAGUAGAAACCGGACCUUGUAAAGUUGCAACUUAAGCUUUAAAUCAACAGUCGAGAACCUAUCAAGCAGAGCCCUUGAGAGAUCAUUUGGUGAUGGGCCCAUUGGCCUUGCUAAAUUUUGUCCACCCAUAUGCAAAAGCAUUGCUUCAUAAUCGAGUGUGUCUUCAGAUAAAGCUCCAGAUAGAUUAUUUUCAGAGGCAUUGACAUUUGAACUAAAAUCUGAACUAGAUGUAUUAGCAGCCGAUGCACAGAUAGCAACAGGUGCAGACUUUGUAAUAAGAUUUGCCGAUUGUUGCUGUGCUGUGUUCCCAUUGUCUCCUUGACGCGCACUACUAACACCAAAUGCCUUUUCCAGAUAAGCCAAAACAUCCUAAACAAACAGAUUCGAGCUCAGAACAAUGCACUUGUUCAAUUGCAAAGGCUAAAAAAUGAAAACAAUGAUCUUUUAAGCCUUCAUUCAAAAAACCUUAACCACACUGCAACACGGUGAAAUAAUACUUUCUAGGAUAAUUUUCUACACCAUAUUUUACUAUGGGAAACUAUCAAAGUCAACUAAACUUAUUUAGGAAUGUUAGAACUGAUAUUGUGGGUGUUUAGAAAAACAUGUUCCGUUAGCACUUGGCAAUUUAAAGUUCAACCGAAAACUCGAAAUAAUAUUUUUUAAAUUCUUGGGAAUAAAGUAGAAGUUUGUUUGAUUCAUUAUAUAUAUAUUCUGGUAAUACAUGUCACAUUUCUGCAAUAACCCUACCCUAUUAUAUAAAAUGUUUAUCAAAUAUCAUUUUUUAAUGCAAUUGAUAAAAAUAGAAUUAAGUACGAAAUCAAGGCGAAUAGCAAACCUGUAAUAUAAAAAAGUAUUUAUAUUUUUACUAAUUUUUUUACUUGUGGAAGUAAUUCUUCUGUUUUCUUUACAGAUCAUAGAAGUCACAUUAAUGACAAUGUAGUAGGCUGAACAUUCAUUUUGACCACAAUGGGGUAGAGUUUUCAAAAGGAUUUGGAUCCUCGCGUUUUAGCUCUUAACAUAACCUUGUUGUGAAUCAAAUCUUGAGUCUCUAAACUUAAGUACAGGUACAACACUCUGUACAAGCGACCACAUUCCCUGCACAUGAACCCAAUGCUGUGUCUCUCUUUUUCUCCCAAAUUGACAGGGCAUUAUGUUAGGACUUAGGAGAUAAAAAGAGAGGAACCAAAUCCUAACAAAUGAUUUUACAACCACUUUAUAAACAUUAAAACAUUUAGCAACCCCAAAUCAAUAAAUUCAUUUUCUUUCAAAGCCGACUAAGCAUAAUAUACAUGAUAUGUGAAACAUAAAGAACGCUUCCAAAUAGCUAUAAGUAAAGGUUUGAAACCAAGUAACUCAACAAAUCACCAUCCAAAUAAUUCAGCUGGCAUGACCAAUUGGUUUGAGAAGAAAUUUUUUGAGGUAUCAAGAUAAAUGAGAGGCCAAUGGUUCAAGGGAUGAAGGUAAAUUUAGAUUGUGAAUUGAGGACAGAUCAUGUAUAUAACAUUAAUUUAAUAUUCAGUUUAUGAACAAAUAUUGAAAUAACUAGCCACACACUAGUUACAAUGUACAAAAAGUAAUACACACAUUAACAUGAAAAUCAUGGUUGACAGCAACACAUUAAGUGACAAAACUUGCAACCUUCAGAGAAAGCACUAUAAAAUAGAACUUACAGCUGAUUUUGAUGCAUCAUGGCAUGCAAGGCUAGCAUCAAGCAGCAGUAGGCAAACAUGUAGAGCUGUUGUCUGCUUACGGAAAGAGAACACAGAAAACAGAGCAUGAAAAGCCAUGAAGACACCAAUGUAACUUUUAAAAGAAAAAUAACAUUAAAUAUAAGGAGUACCUCAUCUAUGGGUUCAAUAUUUUGGAAUAGGGGUUCCAAAACUGAUAAUGUCUUUGCAUAAUCAUGAAGAUGAAACCAGAUGAUGGCCUAUAGAAAUUGAAAUGACAAAAACACAUCAAAAAAAAUAUUAUAAUCUCAAAUAUAUUGCUACUAAAGCAACAAGUGAGUGAAAUAAACGAAACUAAUACGAGGAAUAAAAUAAACGUACAAUAUUUAGGAUUGCCACAGAGGAGUCAAACUCAUCUGUAUACAUUGUAGUAGUGCUAUUUGCAACUGAAAACUGAUUUGUCAAAGAACCACUUCCUUUGGAUCCUGAAACAACUCUGUUUCCAACAUCACUAACUGACUCUCCCUGCUCUCCAGAAGCCAAAGCAAGCUGGUCACUUUUGCUCUGUGAACCAAGUCCAUCAACAAAAAUGUCGUAUAAGUACAAAUUACAGAAAAGUAAAAGUUUGUUCUUAAAUACAUAAAAAAUGGCAGCAAUGUAAACGAGUCUCUCACUUAGUGCAGUAUGGGGAGGGUAGACGUAUGUAGACUUACCCCGCUAGCAGAGAGACUGUUUCCAGAAUUUGAACUCGUGACCUCAUAGUCACUAAGCAACAAUUGUGACCUUAUAUUCUUAAAUACAUAGCAUAUAUAAAUAUCCGUUAAAAACUUCACACAUAGAACCUUAAAUGAUGCAUGCUUUUAGCAUGUUUCAAAAAAUGAUUUUUAAAAAAGGGUAAAAAAUCACUUUUUAAAAAAGUGUUUCAUAAUAAAAUUAAAAACCAUUUUUAAAAAAAGGGAACUUUAAAAGUUACUUUUGAAAAAGGUUAUCUUAGAAAACAUUUUAUUGAAAUAGUGGUUUCUAAAAGGAAGAUUUUCUUAAAAGGUGUUUUUUUAGUUCCAAUUCAAAAAAUCAUCUGGAUCGGAUAUUCAUCCAUCCAAUCCAUUAAAAUGGAUUCAUGGAAAUCCAUUCAUUAAGCUUGGAUAUUGAUGGAUUGAAUAAUUUACAAUAUCAUUUAAUGGAUUUAUAUGAAUUGGUGGAUGGCUUUCCAUCCAUCCAUUAGGAUCCAAAUUCAUCCAAUCCAUUCAUUUGCCACCAUACAGAAAAGUAAAGAUGGGAGCUACAUCUGCAAUUCAGAUGAUCAAAAAUAGUGUCCAACAAAAUUUUAAAAACAUUGUAUUCGAAUUAAAUCCCUACUUUACCACUUAAUUAGUGGGACAAUGUGACAAAGCAUCUGCGAACUUAAAGCCCGCAUUAUUGAAAACUUAAACAAUACUGUGUAGUUCUAGUUCGUACAGUCUCCACCAGUGUUUCCAAUCUUUCAAUACUAUUACAUAUAUAUUUUCCUCCUUUGAGAAUAUUAUAAAUAAAAUCGAAAAGAAAUUAAAAACAAUGUCAUACACUGUAGCAUACUUGGUCGAAUGGGUGGUGAAAUCUUAUCAGCAUUCCUAACCGAAUGAAAGAAUCCAAACUUGGUGAUUAAAAUCAUGAUACCUGUCCGAAACAAAUAAUGUUUUCUACAAUUUUAAACCUCCCCUCCACCAACUGAAACCAAGGUGCCAAUUUGGGACCGUUUGGUUUCUAAAAAUGUUUUCUAUUUCAAUUACAUAUUUCAACUAUUAUUGAUAAUUACAAUAGUGACACCAUGUUAUCAUUCUAUUUAUUGUUAAUUAUGAAUGUGAUCAUAUGUUUUCAUGAUAUUUCCUAUUUUCAAAGAUUUCUGUAGUGAACAAUGAAAACAGAAAACACAAUGGAAACAUGGGGUCAAAUGCAUAAUAAAUAGAAAAUGGAAUGAAAACAAUAAACCCCAAAAGGAGAUGGCCCAGGGAUUUCCACCCAAUGAAACACCAAGGUAAGUGAGGGGCCAUUGAAGUCUACUUUUUUCAUUUUCAUUGAGCACGAUAUAUUUAUAUGAAUCGGUAUAAAAGCUCACAAACUAUUGAAUAUUUCAAGUUCACACUUACAAAUUGUUAGUUUAUUAGCCAAAUCUAGCUUCAUUUCCAUCUCAUCGUUGUAUUCUCAAUUGAUGUGACAUUGAGUUCUGGUCUAACCCAUAAAUGUAAAGAAAUGGUUAUCCACAAACACUAGCCAAGAAAAACAAAAGCUAUUGCAAAUCUGACACGUUGUACAUAUCCAGGGGAAAGGAAAAGACAAGGUUCAACUUUUAAAGCAUACCUUGACGCUUUUAAGUACUUCAAGCAAUUUUUUCGGAUCUGAACAAGCAUCUCGGAAAAAUUCGGCAAUUGCAAUAUUAUGAAGGACCUGAAAUAUUUGGAAUAAAAACCAAAAAAAACAUCAGGAUGUCGUAACAAGUUGCACAAGCAACACACAACCAUAAUGUUUGGUGUAAGUAUCACUACUCAGCACUAAAUCAACUUCAUGUUACACAAACGACAAAUAACCAUCCAAAAUUUAAACCAUCAAACAAGAAGCGUUGACAUCAAGAACUAAAACCAAGAAGCGACAAGUGAGCUCAAAAUUCCACUUCUGGUGAAAUCAUCCAAACAUUCAAAUUUUCCAGUUUGGAUCCACCGCAAGUGUUUCUUCAAGUCUUAAAAUGUUUCCCUGAUGUUCAAUUUUCCUCGACGUUUCUAACAUCGCAUAUGCAUCCACAUAAUGUUCCCAUAUGCAUCCACAUAAAGCAGCAUAUCACUAAAUAUCCACAGCUCAAUCACAUAUUCACUACCAUCAAGAAUCAUAAAAACCAGUUGAACCAAUGGUCCAAUGCACAUUAGCAUUUAUAGCCAAAGAAGUUACAAAUGCAAUUGCUUACUAGCUAUAGUUCUCCAAAGAUACACAAUUUUAAUUUCACCUUAAGUAUCACAAUUAAGAAGCGCGAAAAGCAAAAAACAAUCAAAACCUAGCAGCAUCCAGCAUUGGGAGGAUCAGCAUCAACAGAAAAUGGAAAGGGGGAAAUUACCUUGGGAUCGUUCUGCUUCUUCUGCAACAGCUGAAUCAAUACUUCGACGCAUUCAGCGAACUUUCCUGACUGGAAAUGCAACGCAGCGUCUUUGGCCAGCGCGACUGCGACUGCGAAAACGCCAUCGUCGUUGUCUGUGGCGAAAGAAGCAUCGCGGUUAGCGGAUGAAGACGGAGAAGACGUUGAUGAAUCUCGGUUUUCCAUGCUGAGAUCGAGUAAUCAGAAUAGAAAUCGAAUUGUGAGGGGUUUGGGGGAACAGAAAAAAAAAGAGCCCUAAAAUUAAGAGAAUCGAAGUAGAAUGUAUCUGAAUUGCAAUUGAAAUCGAAGUGAAAUAAGAAGUUAGAGAAACUUACAGUUCAGAAAAUUGAUGGAAAACCCUUUGCUUCUGAUUUUGAUUUUGCAGAUAGAGAAAGGAAGAGUGUGAGAGUGAAAACCUACUCGCCGAUUUGGGGCAGAUUCAGAUAGAAAGAAAAUGCUCAAGAGAUAGAGAGAUUUUUUUCAUAAUUAAUAUAAUUUUUUCUUUAGGUAUAUUUUUUUGGGUGCAUCCAUAAUUCCAUAUAUACAGGUGCAGGUUUGUGUAACUAUGUUACAUACUUAUAGUUAUAUGGUUUCUUAAUAUUAUUUGCAAGAAAAUAUCUGUGCUUAAACUUUACUUAUUUGAAAUCAGAGUGGAGUAGUUAUUAGGAUUGAUAUUGAGAACUCAUGGCCAAUAAGAGGAUGAUAUUUGGCAAGGUUUUUAUGAUUGUUGUUUACUUGAAAACUUGAUUUAGAAAUAUAUGUGAUCAAGUGGAAGUUCACACACAUCACAAUUUUAAGGUUUAACUAUAGGUGUUGUUUAGUACAAUCGAUUGAAAAGUUUGUUCAAUAUUUAAAAAUAAGAAUGAAAGGCUAGAGAUCAUAAACCAACAUAUUGAAGUGAAAGUGUUUGAUUAUAAGAUAUAAAUUGCUUAAUUACUUAGGUUAAGGAUUCCUUCGUCAUAGUCUUAAUGCAUUUAAAGCGAUUAAAAAUUAUUUAAUGUUUCUGAUUAUAACAUGAAAAUAAACUUCUUGAAAUUGUUGACUAUUUUGAUUGGUGCAUGUAGGAUGUGUUUUAUCAGGAAGUUAUUUAAGAAGAUAUCGAGAUGGGGUGGAACAUCGUUGAAGUUCAUCAUCACUAACGAUAAGUGAUAGUCCUUCACUCACGAUAUACAAAACAAAUAUGAAGAUAAGAACAAUUAAAUACUAAAACUAAGAUGUUUGAAAGAGAAUGGAAAUACUUUAAAGAAAUAGAAUCCUAACUUGUGGAUAAAGUGCAUAGUUUAGCUAAAGAAGAAGAACAAUAGUGGUGAGGGUUUCAUAUGAUUUUUACCCCAAAUAAUCUUGUGUCACACACAACUCGUGUUACAUUAGUAGCUCACAAUAGUGUUUUCAUUCUAGAGAUUAUGCAACCCAGUUGGGACAUGUUUCACUAUGUUCAUCUUGGCGUGGAGUACCAUGCAUUAUUAGUGUUGGGCUCGUCUAUGCAAGUGGUGUGUCUCGCAAACAUAGGUUUUAGCUUUUAAAGAAAAUCAUAUGAGAUGACAAAUGAAGUAGGUUUCGAAUAUGAUAUUGAGUCAGUAACUUUUGAUAUUGAUUGUUUGCCAUAAGAGAGACUCAAGGUUCACCUUGUUAAAUGUAGAUCAUUAUCUCAAAACUAUGUCCCCAACCAUAUUUCAUAUAAUAGAAUUUUGACACCUAUCAUAUGAUUUGAGCAUUUUCCCCUUAUUUAUUUGACUUUUCACAACUCAUUGUCCUAGCUAUGUUUACGAUGGAGAUAAAAUAUGGAUAUAUGUUUCUAACUGCUGCUGGGUAAAUAAUAGAUUGCUCCUUGUUUUGUGAUACAAUGUUCACCCUAGAAAAAUAACAUAUUGAAAACAAAUUGAUUUACACUGCUGUAAUUUGUAUCAAUACUUGUACUGUUUUUGGGUGUUAUUUGUAGGUCAGUGAUGAUUUUUCGUUAUUACUGCAUUAUCUAUAAUUUAUGUUUAAUCAUUAUUAACUAUUCAAAAAAUAAUACAAAUAAUAUUGUGGUUAUAUGAAAUUUUAUACUAUCAGCAUAUAAAUAUUAUAGUCAUCUAAAAUAAUUGUGAGAAUGAUGGGGUUUCAUGAAUUCACUAGCGUCUAUUCCUUUAUGAUUUUUAUUUUUGCGGUUGGGCUUGCCCUUUCCAAAAAAUAAACAAUUCAAUUCCUUUGCAAAAAAAUUUAUUCUUAUACUACGAAAUUACGAUAAAUUAAAAUUACUUGUACAAUAAAUUUAUUAGAUUCUAAAAAAUGGGGGAAAAGGCACAGUUUUAGACUAACCCAAUUUGUUAAACCCAAAGUUUACACUCCAAAUUUUUUAGCAAGGCCUAUUUUUUAACUAACAACUAAGAUUUGUUUUUGCGUAUGAACAAAAAUAACUUG